rnacentral:lncRNA from 1 species
CUUUCCUUCCUUCCUUCUUUCUUUCUUUUCUUUUCUUUCUUUUUUCUAUUUUUAAGGCCAUACCCACAGCAUAUGGAAGUUUUCAGGCUAGGGGUUGAAUCCAAGCUAUAGCUGCCAGCCACAGCCACAGCCACAGCAACACCAGAUCCAAGCCACUGCUGCAACCUACACCACAGCUCACAGCAACACCAGAUCCUUAACCCACUGAGUGGGGCCAGGGGUUGAACCUGCAUCCUCAUAGAUACUAGUCAGGUUCGUUUCCACUGAGCUACAGUAUAGAAUGAAUAGUUGGUUUCUAGAAUGAGUAGGAACUCCAUUCUAGUAGAAUGUUGCUUUCCCAGAAAAGGUCACUGUAGAAACGUUGAGGAAAUCAGUACAUUAGACUUUGUUCUGAAUGAGUCAUAAAUAGACAUUAGUGAAGGAAAUAAUGGGGGUGAGUCUUUGUGAAACAGUGCAAUAACUAUUGAGUGCUUAAUAUGUGCCAGGCAUGAGUCUAGAUACGAGGACUCCACAUCAUGAACAAAACACAAGUCCCUGCUCUUCUGAGCUAACAUUCUAGUAGAGACAGGCAAACGUCAAAGUACAUAAUCUGCUUUCAUGUAGUAAUAGAUGCUAGAAAGGAGUAAGGGUAAACAGGGUAAGGGUAAGCAUGCUACUUAAACAGGGUGAGCAGAUACCCUUUCUGGUAAAGACAGUUAAGCAGAAACUUGAGUGAAGAGAAUAUGUGGGGGAAGCAUGUUCCAGGUAGAGGGAACAGCCAAUGCGAAGACCCUAAGGCAGGAGGCUCAAUGUACUCAAAGAACAGUAAAAAGGUCUUGAUGACUGGAAAGAGUUCUGAGUGACGGGAAGGAGUUUCAAGGCCACUGUAAGAAUUUUGCUUGUGAUCAGAGGAAGACGGUAGGGCAUCAGAGAAGUUCAGAAAUGAUACAGAUUCACAGAUGUUACACACCCGAUAGCUCACAAAUUCAAGUUUGCUAUUUUCACGGUGGCAAUUGGUAGCUGGGGACUGCUGAAAGCUCAUUUUUUAUGAAUUCAAAAAAACACUGAGCUUUCUCCAAAUCCUUAAUCUUUCUGACCCUGACCUGUGCACUCACAUCACACUGGGCUGGGGCCGAUCCUCCCAGUUGCCUGGUCACUGUCAUUCCCUGAGUAAAUGAAAAUGGCAGCACUCAGGUACAUGGGCAUCUUUGAACAUGAGACCAUCAGUGGUGAUACUGGUGAGUGGUACCAGGCGGAUGAAAGCCAGAACUUUUAAAGUCAGUGACUUCCAGGAAGCCUAGAUGAUUUUGUAAAACCACUUAUGAGUAUCCCAAAGUAAGGUAGACUGAGAUUCAGCACAAUGCAAAACAAACUAUUAAAAAUCCUUAGGGGUUAAGUGCAAACCAAAAAACCAUUGAAAAAAUUGAGGUAAAGUAUGUGGCAAUUCAGGUAGGGAACUAGAAAUUAGGUGUUAGAAGUGUCAUUUCAAGAUGAUUUUAGAGAAUGCAGCUUCCUGGAAGGUGGCUGGAAUUCUUUUUCGUUUUUGGCUUUUUAGGGCUGCACUUGUGGAAAUAUGGAGGUUCCCAGGCUAGGGGUCAAAUCAGAGCUACAGCUGCUGGCCAAUGCCACAGCCACAGCAAUGAAGGAUCUGAGCCACGUCUGCGACCUACACCACAGCUUACGGCAAUGCCUGAUCCUCAACCCACUGAGAGAGGCCAGGGAUCAAACCUACAUCUUCAUUGGAUCCUAGUCGGGUUCAUUAACUGCUGAGCCAUGAAGGGAACUCCAUAGAAUUCUUAGGUUGUAAUAGGGGUGUUUUCCUGCUGGUUUUGUAUCUAGGGCACCUUGCGCAGAGCUGGGCACAUGAGUGAACACUCAAAGAAUGUUGCUAUUUCAUUGCCCUCCAGGAAUAAUGAUAGGGCAGCGGGUGGGGUGGGGGGAGGUCCUGAGGAAGCUGCUAUCCAACAAUUACCACCACGAUAUCGAUCACUUCCUGGACACUUUACACAUAUGGGAGGUUGAAUGAUGAAAACCACAGCUAUCUUUUCUUUGGACUAUGCGAUGUUUUUAAAACUUGGCAACACUGGGACCAUAUUCCUACUUAACAACUGGCCAGAACGGAGUAGAGAAAGUUCUCUUUAGAAAGGGGAUGUGCUGUCCAGUUUGCCAGACUCCACUGACCUGAUUGGCCCCCAAAGACCUUUGUGUUUAUAGCCUCUGAGAUACACUAUCUUGUCUAAACCUUGCACCAACUAUAUGAAGUAAAUUGAUGCUUUAUGGGUGAGAAAACCGAGGCUCACAGGUGUUGAGUACCUUCUGAGCAUCAGGGCUGGAAACCCAUUUGUGGGUCUCCCAAGCUCAUGCUGCUUCUGUUGUGCCCACUGCUGCUGCAGCAACAGCACAGGACCCACGUUGUUCCAUGACUCUACGAUUCGAGGACUUUAAAUUGUGCAUGUCACAAUUCUAGACUCACUCUGGAAAAUCUAGAAAUCCAUUAUCACUAAGUCACUGUGUGAUCUGUAUAAGGCCAGAGACCUUUACCAAAAAAAGCAAUGAGGGGUUGGAGAUGACCUCUAAGUUGACUUCUAGCCCUAGCAGACUCACUCAGGAGGUAAGAUUGCACUUUUAAAGGUUCCACAUGGGAGCAAAAGAUGACAACAAGUUACUACUAACAUCCUGGUGGUGAGUGGAGCAUUUAUUUUCCUAAAAUAGAAAGGUUGGGUCUGAACUUCCAGUCCUAUAGCUCUGUUCUAUUCCCCCAGCUCCCUGCCAGGCCUCCUCUCUCAGAGUGAGCUCCUAGAGAGACUGUGGCCUAUUCUAUCCCAAAGUCAUUGAAUUUAAGACACUGUUGAGCAUAAGAAAAAUAUCUUAGGUGACUCUAACAAAGGAAAGAUGGUAGAACACC